rnacentral:pre_miRNA from 1 species
AGUGGAAUUGCUGGGUCAUAUGGCAACUAUAUAUUUAGCCUUUUAAGUAACUACCAGAUUGUUUUUCAAAGCAGCUGUGCCAUUUUACAUUCCCACCAGCAGU